UUAUAAUAUAAAUACUCCUAAAUAAACACUUACUUUUUUGUUUAUUUAUUUAAUAUGAUUUAAAUUCAAAUUAUAAAUAGUAAGAAAAUAAUCUUCAAGAAAGGAGCGUGACAUUUGGUAUGUUGUCACGUUUUCUUUUUAAUUUUAUUCUUUUGAUUUAUAUGGUGAAAUUAAAUAAAUAAUAAUAAAUAUUAUUAUUCAUAAAGUGUGGUUUGAUAACGUGUUUAUAUAGAGGUGAAAGAUGAAGGUGGUCAUAUAAUUCAUUUAUUAUAACAUUUUCAGAAUUGACUCCGCACUGCUCUAAAUAAAAUAAAAUUUGGAUUCACCAAUCAGAGGAUUGUCAAAGAUUUCAAGUUGAAAGGGAAAUAGUUAGCCAAUUUUUUGUCUGCUCACAAAUAAAAGGCCAUUCUUUAUUU
rnacentral:lncRNA from 1 species